rnacentral:rRNA from 1 species
GAUGAACGCUGGCGGCGUGCCUAAUACAUGCAAGUCGAGCGAACAGACGAGGAGCUUGCUCCUCUGACGUUAGCGGCGGACGGGUGAGUAACACGUGGAUAACCUACCUAUAAGACUGGGAUAACUUCGGGAAACCGGAGCUAAUACCGGAUAAUAUAUUGAACCGCAUGGUUCAAUAGUGAAAGACGGUUUUGCUGUCACUGAUAGAUGGAUCCGCGCCGCAUUAGCUAGUUGGUAAGGUAACGGCUUACCAAGGCGACGAUGCGUAGCCGACCUGAGAGGGUGGUCGGCCGCACUGGAACUGAGACACGGACCAGACUCCUACGGGAGGCCGCAGUAGGGAAUCGUCCGCAAUGGGCGGAAGCCUGGCGGAGCGACGCCGCGUGAGUGAUGAAGGUGUUCGGAUCGGAAAGCUCUGUUAUGGGGGAAAAACAAAUGUGGAAGGAACUGUACACGUCUUGACGGUACCUAAUCAGAAAGCCACGGCUAACUACGUG